AGUGAACGCUGGCGGUAGGCCUAACACAUGCAAGUCGAACGGCAGCACAGUAAGAGCUUGCUCUUACGGGUGGCGAGUGGCGGACGGGUGAGGAAUACAUCGGAAUCUACUUUUUCGUGGGGGAUAACGUAGGGAAACUUACGCUAAUACCGCAUACGACCUACGGGUGAAAGCAGGGGAUCUUCGGACCUUGAGCGAUUGAAUGAGCCGAUGUCGGAUUAGCUAGUUGGCGGGGUAAAGGCCCACCAAGGCGACGAUCCGUAGCUGGUCUGAGAGGAUGAUCAGCCAAACUGGAACUGAGACACGGUCCAGACUCCUACGGGAGGCAGCAGUGGGGAAUAUUGGACAAUGGGCGCAAGCCUGAUCCAGCCAUACCGCGUGGGUGAAGAAGGCCUUCGGGUUGUAAAGCCCUUUGGUUGGGAAAGAAAAGCAGCAGGUUAAUACCCCGCUGUUCUGACGGUACCCAAAGAAUAAGCACCGGCUAACUUCGUG
rnacentral:rRNA from 1 species